GGUUCGAGUCCAGCCGGUCGCACCAUUGUUUAUUUCCCCAAAUCCGUCGCAACGCCACCAGUUUUUUGCUAAAAUCAG
rnacentral:tRNA from 1 species